UGUCUUAUUCUUUGUGUAUAUAUACACAUAUGUAUAUGUGUGUGUGUGUGUGUGUGUGUGUAUAUACACACACACACACACCUACUAUGUCUGAAAUUUUUAAA
ensembl:miRNA Gm23630 predicted gene, 23630